ACGAACGCUGGCGGCGUGCUUAACACAUGCAGGUCGAACGGAAGGGCCCUGCUUUUGUGGGGUGCUCGAGUGGCGAACGGGUGAGUAACACGUGAGUAACCUGCCCUUGACUUUGGGAUAACUUCAGGAAACUGGGGCUAAUACCGGAUAGGAGCUCCUGCUGCAUGGUGGGGGUUGGAAAGUUUCGGCGGUUGGGGAUGGACUCGCGGCUUAUCAGCUUGUUGGUGGGGUAGUGGCUUACCAAGGCUUUGACGGGUAGCCGGCCUGAGAGGGUGACCGGCCACAUUGGGACUGAGAUACGGCCCAGACUCCUACGGGAGGCAGCAGUGGGGAAUAUUGCACAAUGGGCGGAAGCCUGAUGCAGCAACGCCGCGUGCGGGAUGACGGCCUUCGGGUUGUAAACCGCUUUCGCCUGUGACGAAGCGUGAGUGACGGUAAUGGGUAAAGAAGCACCGGCUAACUACGUG
rnacentral:rRNA from 1 species